UUGGUCCUAGCAUGAGUACACCCGAUCACCGGAAUAGAGAAAAAACUCACCAUCUCAACAUCACACGUGUAGACAACUUACAUGUUGGCCUGACCCAUUUUUUUUUUUUUUUUGGCUUAUACAAAUAAAAUUAGUCAAAGAAUGAAUAAAUGUAAGAAGAAGAAUUAUAGAAAAGCAUGACGAACCACAUAUAUUUUUUAUAAAAUUUCUGAAGAACGUUAGAAAAUAUUAAGAAAAAAGGAAAAACAAAUUGAUCUUUAGGGGUUUUAAUAUUAUUUUGCAUGCAUAUUGUUACUACAUUUUCG
rnacentral:lncRNA from 1 species